AAAAAAAAGAAAAAGCCACUACAAAGAUACAUCUCAACAAAUCAAAGGAAAAAUUAAGUAUGAGAAAGCAAAUGGAGAGAUCAAGCUUGCCCCAGAAGUUGAAACAGGACAAGACUGCAGUCUAGCAUGCUCUCACAAGCAGGACUGAGAAGGAUUAUGAUCUGCCCUGACUUACACCAGGCACGAGUGGGAAGCUUGCAUCAUACAUCUUGUUUUCAUGGAGGGUGCUGUUAUCUCUGUGAAAGUUUACCUUUUUUCUUCAUCAGACUGGAUGUCACGCAUGAACAUAGAAUGAAGUAGAAUAAAUGGUUCUUACCAUUGAAGUGUCACUGAGAGCUCCUGGUGCUAUGGAGUUCUGCUGCCACGAGGCCACGAGGCAAAUGUCAUUUAGGGAUGAUGC